AUUGAACGCUGGCGGCAGGCCUAACACAUGCAAGUCGAACGAGUGGCGGACGGGUGAGUAAUGCCUGGGAAACUGCCUGAUGGAGGGGGAUAACUACUGGAAAAGGUAGCUAAUAUCGCAUACCAUCGGAUGUGCCCAGAUGGGAUUAGCUAGGAUGUGGGGUAAAGGAUCAACUAGGCGACGAUCCCUAGCUGGUCUGAGAGGAUGACCAGCAACACUGGAACUGAGACACGGUCCAUACUCCUACGGAAGGCAGCAGUGGGGGAUAUUGCACAAUAGGCGCAAGCCUGAUGCAGCCCUGCCGCGUGUAUGAAGAAGGCCUUCGGGUUGUAAAGUACUUUCAGCGGGGAAGCGUUACCCGCAGAAGAAGCACCGGCUAACUCCGUGCCAGCAGCCGCGGUAAUAC
rnacentral:rRNA from 1 species